rnacentral:rRNA from 1 species
UACGUAGGGUGCAGGCGUUAAUCGGAAUUACUGGGCGUAAAGCGUGCGCAGGCGGUUCGUUGUGUCGGCGGUGAAAGCCCCGGGCUUAACCCUGGGAAUGGCCGUUGAAACUGGCGAACUGGAGUGUGGCAGAGGGGGGUGGAAUUCCGCGUGGUAGCAGUGAAAUGCGUAGAGAUGCGGAGGAACACCGAUGGCGAAGGCAGCCCCCUGGGCUAACACUGACGCCUCAGGCACGAAAGCGUGGGGAGCAA